UACGAAGGGGGCUAGCGUUGUUCGGAAUUACUGGGCGUAAAGCGCACGUAGGCGGAUACUUAAGUCAGGGGUGAAAUCCCGGGGCUCAACCCCGGAACUGCCUUUGAUACUGGGUAUCUCGAGUCCGGAAGAGGUGAGUGGAAUUCCGAGUGUAGAGGUGAAAUGCGUAGAUAUCUGGAGGAACACCGGUGGCGAAGGCGGCAUCCUGGACCGGCAUUGACGCUGAGGCGCGAAAGCCAGGGGAGCAAAGCGGG
rnacentral:rRNA from 1 species